rnacentral:rRNA from 1 species
GACGAACGCUGGCGGCGUGCUUAACACAUGCAAGUCGAACGGUGAAGCGCCUUCCUUUUUGGUGGGUGUGGAUGAGUGGCGAACGGGUGAGUAACACGUGAGUAACCUGCCCCCUUCUUCUGGAUAACCGCAUGAAAGUGUGGCUAAUACGGGAUAUUCUGGGUCUGUCGCAUGAUGGGUCUGGGAAAGAUAUUGUUUCGGUGGGGGAUGGGCUCGCGGCCUAUCAGCUUGUUGGUGGGUGAUGGCCUACCAAGGCGGUGACGGGUAGCCGGCCUGGGAGGGUGGACGGACACACUGGGACUGGGACACGGCCCAGACUCCUACGGGAGGCAGCAGUGGGGAAUAUUGCACAAUGGGCGCAAGCCUGAUGCAGCGACGCCGCGUGAGGGAUGGAGGCCUUCGGGUUGUGAACCUCUUUCGCCAGUGAAGCAGGCCUGCCUCGUUUGUGGGUGGGUUGACGGUAGCUGGAGAAGAAGCGCCGGCUAACUACGUG